rnacentral:tRNA from 1 species
CGGGAUAGCUCAGCUGGUAAGCAG